rnacentral:rRNA from 1 species
CCUACGGGAGGCAGCAGUGGGGAAUAUUGGGCAAUGGACGCAAGUCUGACCCAGCAACGCCGCGUGAAGGAAGAAGGCUUUCGGGUUGUAAACUUCUUUUAAGGGGGAAGAGCAGAAGACGGUACCCCUUGAAUAAGCCACGGCUAACUACGUGCCAGCAGCCGCGGUAAUACGUAGGUGGCAAGCGUUGUCCGGAUUUACUGGGUGUAAAGGGCGUGCAGCCGGAGAGACAAGUCAGAUGUGAAAUCCACGGGCUCAACCUCUUCGAGCCGUUGAAACUGGUUUUCUUGAGUGAGUGAGAGGUAUGCGGAAUGCGUGGUGUAGCGGUGAAAUGCAUAGAUAUCACGCAGAACUCCGAUUGCGAAGGCAGCAUACCGGCGCUCAACUGACGCUCAUGCACGAAAGUGUGGGUAUCGAACAGGAUUAGAUACCCUAGUAGUC